rnacentral:rRNA from 1 species
UUAAGCGACUAAGCGUACACGGUGGAUGCCCUGGCAGUCAGAGGCGAUGAAGGACGUGCUAAUCUGCGAUAAGCGUCGGUAAGGUGAUAUGAACCGUUAUAACCGGCGAUUUCCGAAUGGGGAAACCCAGUGUGUUUCGACACACUAUCAUUAACUGAAUCCAUAGGUUAAUGAGGCGAACCGGGGGAACUGAAACAUCUAAGUACCCCGAGGAAAAGAAAUCAACCGAGAUUCCCCCAGUAGCGGCGAGCGAACGGGGAGCAGCCCAGAGCCUGAAUCAGUAUGUGUGUUAGUGGAAGCGUCUGGAAAGGCGCGCGAUACAGGGUGACAGCCCCGUACACAAAAAUGCACAUGCUGUGAGCUCGAUGAGUAGGGCGGGACACGUGGUAUCCUGUCUGAAUAUGGGGGGACCAUCCUCCAAGGCUAAAUACUCCUGACUGACCGAUAGUGAACCAGUACCGUGAGGGAAAGGCGAAAAGAACCCCGGCGAGGGGAGUGAAAAAGAACCUGAAACCGUGUACGUACAAGCAGUGGGAGCACGCUUAGGCGUGUGACUGCGUACCUUUUGUAUAAUGGGUCAGCGACUUAUAUUCUGUAGCAAGGUUAACCGAAUAGGGGAGCCGAAGGGAAACCGAGUCUUAACUGGGCGUUAAGUUGCAGGGUAUAGACCCGAAACCCGGUGAUCUAGCCAUGGGCAGGUUGAAGGUUGGGUAACACUAACUGGAGGACCGAACCGACUAAUGUUGAAAAAUUAGCGGAUGACUUGUGGCUGGGGGUGAAAGGCCAAUCAAACCGGGAGAUAGCUGGUUCUCCCCGAAAGCUAUUUAGGUAGCGCCUCGUGAAUUCAUCUCCGGGGGUAGAGCACUGUUUCGGCAAGGGGGUCAUCCCGACUUACCAACCCGAUGCAAACUGCGAAUACCGGAGAAUGUUAUCACGGGAGACACACGGCGGGUGCUAACGUCCGUCGUGAAGAGGGAAACAACCCAGACCGCCAGCUAAGGUCCCAAAGUCAUGGUUAAGUGGGAAACGAUGUGGGAAGGCCCAGACAGCCAGGAUGUUGGCUUAGAAGCAGCCAUCAUUUAAAGAAAGCGUAAUAGCUCACUGGUCGAGUCGGCCUGCGCGGAAGAUGUAACGGGCUAAACCAUGCACCGAAGCUGCGGCAGCGACACUAUGUGUUGUUGGGUAGGGAGCGUUCUGUAAGCCUGUGAAGGUGUACUGUGAGGUAUGCUGGAGGUAUCGAAGUGCGAAUGCUGACAUAAGUAACGAUAAAGCGGGUGAAAAGCCCGCUCGCCGGAAGACCAAGGGUUCCUGUCCAACGUUAAUCGGGCAGGGUGAGUCGACCCUAAGGCGAGGCCGAAAGGCGUAGUCGAUGGGAAACAGGUUAAUAUUCCUGUACUUGGUGUUACUGCGAAGGGGACGGAGAAGGCUAUGUUGGCCGGGCGACGGUUGUCCCGGUUUAAGCGUGUAGGCUGGUUUUCCGUGCAAAUCCGGAAAAUCAAGGCUGAGGCGUGAUGACGAGGCACUACGGUGCUGAAGCAACAAAUGCCCUGCUUCCGUGAAAAGCCUCUAAGCAUCAGGUAACAUCAAAUCGUACCCCAAACCGACACAGGUGGUCAGGUAGAGAAUACCAAGGCGCUUGAGAGAACUCGGGUGAAGGAACUAGGCAAAAUGGUGCCGUAACUUCGGGAGAAGGCACGCUGAUAUGUAGGUGAAGUCCCUCGCGGAUGGAGCUGAAAUCAGUCGAAGAUACCAGCUGGCUGCAACUGUUUAUUAAAAACACAGCACUGUGCAAACACGAAAGUGGACGUAUACGGUGUGACGCCUGCCCGGUGCCGGAAGGUUAAUUGAUGGGGUCAGCGCAAGCGAAGCUCUUGAUCGAAGCCCCGGUAAACGGCGGCCGUAACUAUAACGGUCCUAAGGUAGCGAAAUUCCUUGUCGGGUAAGUUCCGACCUGCACGAAUGGCGUAAUGAUGGCCAGGCUGUCUCCACCCGAGACUCAGUGAAAUUGAACUCGCUGUGAAGAUGCAGUGUACCCGCGGCAAGACGGAAAGACCCCGUGAACCUUUACUAUAGCUUGACACUGAACAUUGAGCCUUGAUGUGUAGGAUAGGUGGGAGGCUUUGAAGUGUGGACGCCAGUCUGCAUGGAGCCGACCUUGAAAUACCACCCUUUAAUGUUUGAUGUUCUAACGUUGACCCGAUCCGGGUUGCGGACAGUGUCUGGUGGGACUGGGGCGGUCUCCUCCUAAAGAGUAACGGAGGAGCACGAAGGUUGGCUAAUCCUGGUCGGACAUCAGGAGGUUAGUGCAAUGGCAUAAGCCAGCUUGACUGCGAGCGUGACGGCGCGAGCAGGUGCGAAAGCAGGUCAUAGUGAUCCGGUGGUUCUGAAUGGAAGGGCCAUCGCUCAACGGAUAAAAGGUACUCCGGGGAUAACAGGCUGAUACCGCCCAAGAGUUCAUAUCGACGGCGGUGUUUGGCACCUCGAUGUCGGCUCAUCACAUCCUGGGGCUGAAGUAGGUCCCAAGGGUAUGGCUGUUCGCCAUUUAAAGUGGUACGCGAGCUGGGUUUAGAACGUCGUGAGACAGUUCGGUCCCUAUCUGCCGUGGGCGCUGGAGAACUGAGGGGGGCUGCUCCUAGUACGAGAGGACCGGAGUGGACGCAUCACUGGUGUUCGGGUUGUCAUGCCAAUGGCACUGCCCGGUAGCUAAAUGCGGAAGAGAUAAGUGCUGAAAGCAUCUAAGCACGAAACUUGCCCCGAGAUGAGUUCUCCCUGACCCUUUAAGGGUCCUGAAGGAACGUUGAAGACGACGACGUUGAUAGGCCGGGUGUGUAAGCGCAGCGAUGCGUUGAGCUAACCGGUACUAAUGAACCGUGAGGCUUAACCU